rnacentral:rRNA from 1 species
AUGGUUAAGACCCACGAGCCCCUCCUCACUCUCCAUGUCGAAACCCUAACCCUCACUUUCCCCUCCCUCGCUCUCUCUCGUCCAAAUGGUCGCCGCCCGUCCGCCGCUCGUCACGGUCGUCGUCGUCACCGUGGCCAUUGUGCUCCCCGGCGCAUGAGAACACGUCCAGGAGGACCGUCACCAUCGACUCCGUCCAUCCUGAGCACCAAAUCGAGCGGAGCUGCCCCGUACACUCGCCAUCGAGCUCAUCUUCAUCCUCGGCCUCCGUUGUCGAUUGCCUCGUCUCCGGUUCGUCCCCAACCACCUCGAGCUCACCUCCGAAACCGCGAUGGUGGAGUCCAGGAGCCAGAUGCCACCUUUGACGACUGCUACUACCCCGAGGGUGCCUACUACUACGUGGAGGCCGCCGCCGACCAGGAGUAG